rnacentral:pre_miRNA from 1 species
AGACACCCUUAUGGGGCAGGACUUGCUUCAGUGGAGCUUUGGCACUGAGUCUGCCCCUUGAGUAUGUCUCU